AUUGAACGCUGGCGGCAUGCCUUACACAUGCAAGUCGAACGGCAUCGCGGGAAAGCUUGCUUUCCUGGCGGCGAGUGGCGAACGGGUGAGUAACACAUCGGAACGUACCGGCUAGUGGGGGAUAACCCGUCGAAAGACGGGCUAAUACCGCAUACGCUCUUCGGAGGAAAGCAGGGGACCUCUGGGCCUUGCGCUAGUCGAGCGGCCGAUGUCCGAUUAGCUAGUUGGUGGGGUAAAGGCCUACCAAGGCGACGAUCGGUAGCGGGUCUGAGAGGACGAUCCGCCACACUGGGACUGAGACACGGCCCAGACUCCUACGGGAGGCAGCAGUGGGGAAUCUUGGACAAAGGGGGCAACCCUGAUCCAGCAAUGCCGCGUGGGUGAAGAAGGCCUUCGGGUUGUAAAGCCCUUUCGGCAGGGAAGAAAUCGGCGGGGCGAAUAACCCUGCUGGAUGACGGUACCUGCAGAAGAAGCACCGGCUAACUACGUG
rnacentral:rRNA from 1 species